AAACUUUUAACAACGGAUCUCUUGGUUCUCGUAUCGAUGAAGAACGCAGCGAAACGCAAUAUUUCUUGUGAAUUGCAGAAGUGAAUCAUCAGUUUUUGAACGC
rnacentral:rRNA from 1 species